AACGAACGCUGGCGGCAUGCCUAACACAUGCAAGUCGAACGAGACCUUCGGGUAUCGUGGCGCAAGGGUGCGUAACGCGUGGGAACCUGCCCUUAGGUUCGGAAUAACUCCCCGAAAGGGGUGCUAAUACCGGAUAAUGUCUUCGGACCAAAGUUUUAUCGCCUUUGGAUGGGCCCGCGUUGGGUUAGCUAGUUGGUAGGGUAAAAGCCUACCAAGGCGACGAUCCAUAGCUGGUCUGAGAGGAUGAUCAGCCACACUGGGACUGAGACACGGCCCAGACUCCUACGGGAGGCAGCAGGGGGGAAUAUUGGACAAUGGGCGAAAGCCUGAUCCAGCAAUGCCGCGUGAGUGAUGAAGGCCUUAGGGUUGUAAAGCUCUUUUACCCGGGAUGAUAAUGACAGUACCGGGAGAAUAAGCUCCGGCUAACUCCGUG
rnacentral:rRNA from 1 species